rnacentral:rRNA from 1 species
GACAGAGGUGCCGAGCGUUAGGCGGAAUCACUGGGCUUAAAGCGUGUGUAGGCGGACUUCUAAGUACCUUGUGAAAUCCCCAGGCUCAACCUGGGAACUGCGACUGAUACUGGAUGGCUUGAAUUCGGGAGAGGGAUGCAGAAUUCCAGGUGUAGCGGUGAAAUGCGUAGAUAUCUGGAGGAAUACCGGUGGCGAAGGCGGCAUCCUGGACCGACAUUGACGCUGAUGAGCGAAAGCUAGGGGAGCAAACGGG